AACAUACAUAAAAUGGGGAUGCCUCUUUAAGAAAACAGACGUUAAGGGAGCUAGGUAGUCUAUCUAGCCAAUAGGAAGUUAAGUUUCCAGUGUCUAUCCACCAAUGAGAAUGCAGACUGCCCCUGUAGGUCCCGCCCUGCUUUCCCAUGUUUGCAGCAAUAUAGUGUGAGCGAGAGAGAUCGGACACGAGGACGAGACUGCUGAGCUGUGCAGCGUCAGAGUCUGUGUUAAGACUAUUAUAGUAUUACACACGAAUGAAAAGACGAAGCUUUUUGCAAUUGAAAUUGCUGUUUAUUAUCCAAGUUCUAAUCUGGAAUUAGUUGAGCUGAAGUGUCCCACCUGUCUGGACUCGGAGCCAUCAUAUUGUUGUCCCAAACUGAUGCAUUGAGAUCGGUCAGGUUUUUUUUUGUUACGCUGGAUCGUUCCUGAGGUGGAUUCCUCAAGAGACUGAUGGCGAGCCUUCCCACCUGGACUUAGAAAAGGAACUGGCUUCCUCCUUUUGCAUUUGGAGUUCUGCUGCACCCUGCGGUGUGGUAGGCCUGUGUCACUCGAAUCUUCACGCAGAGUUUGUUAUGCACGAGACUACUUACUGACUUUUUCCAUUUUUUUCGUUUCAUUCUGGGACUUUGGACAUAAAUUUUAUUUUGGACGUAGUAACAAACUACUGUGUAGGACACCCUCCUCACGUGACUGAUGUUGAGUCCAAUCUGAAUGUGAACUGAAUUUGAAUAAUCUGUGAUCUAUUAAAUUUCAGAAUUUAGAUUAACAGGGUGCACCCAAAAUAGAUAAAACCAGAGAAGUAGCACUUGGCCAAGUGUUCAUAUUAUUUUAUGUAUUUUAUUGUGUUGAAUUUAUUUUCAUAAUUUUUUGUCUUGUACAACUGUUUGUUAAUUUGAUGGUUUAUCUCACUAAAGCAGUCGUUCGUUAAAACCAUCCAACUGCCUCCGUUGUCAUUUAAACACCCUCACUGUGCUCCGAUAGCCGAACCUAUUGGCCCAUUUAUCUAAAAUACAUAGGACUCUUCUCUACUGUGUUACAUGAUGAACCUCUGUGUCUGUCG